GCUUGUCGAGCGGCAGCGACAACAUUGACCCUUCGGGUGAUUUGUUGGGCGGCGAGCGGCGGACGGGUGAGUAAUGCCUGGGAACAUGCCUUAGUGUGGGGGAUAACCAUUGGAAACGAUGGCUAAUACCGCAUAAUCUCUACGGAGCAAAGAGGGGGACCUUCGGGCCUCUCGCGCUAAGAUUGGCCCAGGUGGGAUUAGCUAGUAGGUGGGGUAACGGCUCACCUAGGCGACGAUCCCUAGCUGGUCUGAGAGGAUGAUCAGCCACACUGGAACUGAGACACGGUCCAGACUCCUACGGGAGGCAGCAGUGGGGAAUAUUGCACAAUGGGGGAAACCCUGAUGCAGCCAUGCCGCGUGUGUGAAGAAGGCCUUCGGGUUGUAAAGCACUUUCAGCAGUGAGGAAGGCGGUAUCGUUAAUAGCGGUAUCGUUUGACGUUAGCUGCAGAAGAAGCACCGGCUAACUCCGUGCCAGCAGCCGCGGUAAUACGGAGGGUGCGAGCGUUAAUCGGAAUUACUGGGCGUAAAGCGCAUGCAGGCGGCUUGUUAAGCCAGAUGUGAAAGCCCGGGGCUCAACCUCGGAAUCGCAUUUGGAACUGGCAGGCUAGAGUCUUGUAGAGGGGGGUAGAAUUUCAGGUGUAGCGGUGAAAUGCGUAGAGAUCUGAAGGAAUACCGGUGGCGAAGGCGGCCCCCUGGACAAAGACUGACGCUCAGAUGCGAAAGCGUGGGGAGCAAACAGGAUUAUAUACCCUGGGUAGUCCACGCCGUAAACGAUGUCUACUUGGAGGUUGGUGUCUUGAACACUGGCUUUCGGAGCUAACGCGUUAAGUAGACCGCCUGGGGGAGUACGGUCGCAAGAUUAAAACUCAAAUGAAUUUGACGGGGGCCCGCACAAGC
rnacentral:rRNA from 1 species